rnacentral:rRNA from 1 species
CCUACGGGGGGCAGCAGUGAGGAAUCUUGCGCAAUGGGGGAAACCCUGACGCAGCAACGCCGCGUGAGUGAGGAAGGUCUUCGGGUCGUAAAGCUCUGUCAGGCGGGAAGAAAUGCAUGGAGGUGAACAGCCGCCAUGCUUGACGGUACCGCCAGAGGAAGCACCGGCUAACUCCGUGCCAGCAGCCGCGGUAAUACGGGGGGUGCAAGCGUUGUUCGGAAUCAUUGGGCGUAAAGAGCGUGUAGGCGGCUUGGUAAGUCAGAUGUGAAAGCCCUGGGCUCAACCCGGGAAGUGCAUUUGAAACUGUCAGGCUCGAGUAGGGGAGAGGGAAGUGGAAUUCCUGGUGUAGAGGUGAAAUUCGUAGAUAUCAGGAGGAACACCGGUGGCGAAGGCGACUUCCUGGCCCUAUACUGACGCUGAGACGCGAGAGCGUGGGUAGCAAACAGGCUUAGAUACCCUAGUAGUC